UACGUAGGUGGCAAGCGUUAUCCGGAAUUAUUGGGCGUAAAGAGCGCGCAGGUGGUUGAUUAAGUCUGAUGUGAAAGCCCACGGCUUAACCGUGGAGGGUCAUUGGAAACUGGUCGACUUGAGUGCAGAUGAGGGAAGUGGAAUUCCAUGUGUAGCGGUGAAAUGCGUAGAGAUAUGGAGGAACACCAGUGGCGAAGGCGGCUUCCUGGUCUGUAACUGACACUGAGGCGCGAAAGCGUGGGGAGCAAACAGGAUUAGA
rnacentral:rRNA from 1 species